GCCCGGGGGACCACUGCCACCAAAGCGCGGAGACAGACAGGUAGUGGCCCCGAGUGCCUGGAGGCGCUGCUAUUUAUUGUAGUCAAGGCAAGGGGGCAGGGUAAGGAGUGCCAGUCAUCUCCAAUGAUCGAUAGGUCACGCGAGUCACGUGUGCACUGGACAGGGGGCCUUUCCCUUUGUGGUAGCCGAGGUGGAGAGGGAGGACAGCAAACGUCAGCGUUUCUUCUAUGCACUUAUCAGAAAGAUCGAAGACUGUGGUACUCCUACUAGUUCUGCUACUGCUGUCUUCUAAGAACUUAAAAGGAGGAGCCAGGUGUACAGGCUGAACAUGAAAGUGAACAAGGAGCGUGACCACUGAAGCACAGCAUCACAGGGAGACAGACGUUGGAGCCUCCGGAUGACUGCGGGCCGGCCUGGCUAAUGUCAGACCUCCCACAAGAGGUGGUGGAGCGGAGCGUUCUCUGUCUCCCCUGGAGAGAGGGAGAUUCCCUUUCCGGGUCUGCUAAGUAACGGGUGCCUUCCCAGGCACUGGGGCCACCGCUAGACCAAGGCCUGCUAAGUAACCAGGGCCUUCCCAGGCACUGGCAUUACCGCUAGGCCAAGGAGCCCUCCAGCGGCCCUUCUCUGGGCGUGAAUGAGGGCUCACACUCUCGUCUUCUGGUCACCUCUCACUGUGGCCCUUCAGCUCCUAACUCUGUGUGGCCUGGUUUCCCCCAAGGUAAUCAUAAUAGAACAGAGAUCAUUAUGGUAAUAGAACAAAGAGUGAUGCUACAAACUAAUGAUUAAUAAUAGUCAGAUAUAAUCCUAUCCGUUUCCUAUCUCUAGUAAAACUUUUCUUAUUCUAAUUAUUUUCUUCGCUGUACUGGAACAGCUUGUGCCUUCAGGCUCUUGCCUGGGCACCUGGGUGGCUUGCGGCCCACAAGAUAAGAUACAUUGCGUUGAACUAUAAUUUAUGUUGAUUGCUGAAUGAUUUAGGGCGGGGGGGUGGCACCCCCUGAAAUUCUGCCCUGGAGGAGUGGCCUCACCCUAACCCUGGCCGUGGCUAAUAAUAAGGCCCACCUCUUAGGGCCGUGGAGUGAAAUAAGUUUUCCAGGUAAUGCGCAGUAGAGCCCUCAGCCCUCCGCUGAAGUUGCGUUAGGAAGGAGGAAGGGAGAGGUAAAUGCUGAGCCCGCAGGCGGCAGUCUGUGCCUCGGAGAGAAACUUUAUCCCAACCUUGCUGGGGGCCUUGACGCCCACCUUGCCCCAAGAGCACCCCGGCAGCCACCCCUGCCCUCUGGGGUCCUGCCACCCCGAGCCCGACCUUCCCCCUUUUCCCCCGCGCCGGGCCAAUAGCCUCCUAACUGCGUCGUGCUCAUCACCUUUGCGUCGUUUCUUCGCUCCACAAACGUUUACUGAGCGCCUUCCACACGCCAGGCGCCAGACUCGCGCGGGGAAACAGGGAUAAGCACUGAGGAGGGGUCCCAGCCCUCAGCGAUGGGAUUUCAGAGCGGGAGAUAAAGGGUUGCCCAGAAGGGUGGUGAGUGGAAUGGCUGAUAUAAACAACGGGGGCGCGAUGAAAUACACAGGAGGGCUGCUAGUCACAUAUGGGGCGGGUGCCGAGGGCCCUUGACUAAGGGAGGCUUCCUGCACGGGUGACACCCAAGCGGAGUCCUGACGACCUGCGUCAGAAGUAGCCGGGCGAGGAGGAGGGGAAAGGAAUCCACGUCCCGAGCAGAGAGGCAGCGUUCCCUACACAGCACAGGACACGGUCCGCGCACAGAAGCCGCAGGAGACGCAGGCACAGGGGCUGGGGAGAAUCCUUGCUGGGCCCUCGCCGCCUCCCUCUGCCGGGUGUCUGGUGCCAGCCUCCUGCCUGGCAGAGGAACUCCAGCCCCUGCUCCCGGAAGCCCCUCCAGGCCUUCGGCUUCCCUGACUGGGCAUGGGCCCCUCGUCCCCUCGUCCCCUCGGGUACGGGGCCGGUCUCCCCGCCCGCGGGCGGCGAAGUAAAGGCCCAGCGCAGCCCGCGCUCCUGCCCUGGAGCCUCGUCUUUCUCCAGGAAAACGUGGACCGCUCUCCGCCGACAGGUCUCUUCCACAGACCCCUGUCGCCUUCGCCCCCGGUCUCUUCCGGUUCUGUCUUUUCGCUGGCUCGAUACGAACAAGGAAGUCGCCCCCAGCGGAG
rnacentral:lncRNA from 1 species